rnacentral:lncRNA from 1 species
GUUCGCUCUGCCUUCUUUGUGGAAAUCUCACAUAAAGGCUCUGGCCUUUGCCUUCUCCUUGCUCCUGUCAUCUGCCUCUUGACCAUCCUCACAUUUCCUUUGUGGCCCUGUUCCCUUCUCUCAGGUGUGGCAUGAUCCCUUCUCUCAGGAAAUUCCAGAGGCAGUUGGUGUAUCUAUUAAAGGAUGACUUAAAGACAAACAUGACUUGGAUGUUAGGUAGCACACUGCUCCAGAGAGUAGUUCAACUCUUAUCCCUACUGGAAUCACUUGUUUACAGUACAGAGUAGCGAUCACUCACCCCACCCUCUAGAGUAAAGGUGGCAUGCAAUAGUGAAGCUGUGAAGACUGGUGGAACCACAAAUAGAAGGGUCCUAAGUCCCAGAAUUACCAUGGAAGAAAGUCUCCUGCAAAUUGGGUAGUUGGAAUUGAAGGCAUCUGACAAAUGUUAGACAAACACGAGUGAUUGAGAUUGAAGAAAGACUGGAGUAGUUACUGUGGAGAAUGCAAAAGGAUGGUUAUUCAAGGUACAGGGACCCCGCUUCUCCUUGAUGGCAGGAUUGAUCAUCACAACCCUUUUCUGACAAUUGACCUAGGAGCACAGGAGGCAAAGAAUAAUUGACAGAAGGUAUAGAAUUACAACCUUGACAGCCAACAUUAUCUACAGAAGAAGGAGAAACAGGAAUUUCCUGCUGAGAUAAUUUACCACCUUCAGAGUAUAGACUUGUCUUCUAUUAAUCUAUAGAGGAAAGCUAUGCAUCCCUCCAGCAAACUAUGAAUAUGUCCAAAAAGUGUUUUCAGGUUGUUCUGUAUUUUUUUUCAACAUAUUAGCUGUCCAAGGGAAAAAGAUAGAAGCAGAGCCAUGAUAAGCAAAUGAAAAAAUUUAAAAAUAUAUAUUUAUAGUAACAAGGUCUAAAUUGGGAGAAUAUCUGGUUUUCCAAAAUGAAUACAAGGGACUCUAGAAAAAUAAUGAAAAACAUUCAACAAUAACAGUCAGCUGAUGGUAACUGAAAAUAUAUUAUACACAGGAUGUGAAAUCUUCAUGUAUGGACGAUCAGCUUUUUGUAUACACAGAUUUAGCAGGUCUUUUCACUACUGUAUUCUGAUUGCAGAAGGAAACCAUUCAGUCUUUCACCACAAACAAUAAAGAUUCCUCUGGAAGGGGUACUCUCUCCAUAUCAGGGUCAGAAAAUAGCCCGUAUCACCAGAGACUUGGAAUUGAAGGCUACAGUGGACCUAAAUAAACAUAAUUAAUGAAGUAAUCCUCAUCCUUCACCUGUUUUACACUUUCCCAUGUAUUUCUUAGUAACUCCCCUGGAAAAUUUUUACCACUGUAGCCAGAUUUUCUUUGUCCUAUCAUUUCUUCUCAAAUCUAUCACUCUAUGUCUAAAAAGUAUCAAGGCAUCUUGCUUUGGCCACUUCUUUUGACUUCCCUCUCUUGUGAAGAACCCCAUGUGCA